rnacentral:lncRNA from 1 species
GGGACGCUUCCCCGCGCCGCCGCAGCCCCGCCCUCAGGCCAGCUCGGUGGCUCUGCGCGCCCAGGCCUGGGACGGAGAUGUAGCCGCGCCGCGCCCGUACAGGUGGCUGGGCUGCCCGCGAGCCAAGCAGCGCGCACAGGAUGCUGCCCCCAAGGACUCACCACUCUCCCUUCCCGCCCCACUGGUCCUCUCGGCCGCUCCGGCUCUGCUCUGGCAGCCGCCCGGCUUUCAGGCAGAUGGUUAAGUAGGCCGCACCCGGGCGCAGAGAACCGAGGACGCUGGAAUUUAAGGAGGAGCGAAGAAGGAUCAGCCCUGUUUCCCGCUUUUUCCCCAGGCACCUCUGAAGAGGGUGCGCGGCUGCUCUCCAAGUCCUCGGGCUCGGAGCUGGGCCGGGUACAGGGGCCUCAGGACAGCGACGCGCACACGCUGGGCACCUGUUAGAGCGGGGGCCCUACCUGCUGGGGCCUCAGCUUGGCCUCCUGGAUACAGGCACCUGGGCGGCAGUUGUAGGCUAAAGUGACCACAUCUGGCUUCAGGUUGUAAAGGAAAUCAAAAUGAGAAAGAGAGAAGAAAAGCAUGUGUGAGCCCCUCUCUGGGUCAGCUCUCCGGAGGACUCUAUUUCGGUAAGCCUCUCAGGGCUGCCAAACACCCCCAUGGCUCAGGACAGAGACCUGCUUCCCAGCCUUAGCAUUGCGAGGGAUCAUUCCACUUGAUAAGAUGCUGUUUCCAUAGAGAAAUACUCUAUUAUUUGAAUCCCAAGUCAACCUUUAUGAAAACUGCUAGAGUGGCUGAUAAACUUUUUUGUGUUUUAAAAAAACAAAGAAGUUCUCUGUGUGUCCACACACUAGCCUGCAUCCAUUUUAGGUACUUCUACCUUUGAAGAAAUGCUUCUCUACCAAAAAUUUAAAAUUUUUUAAAAAUCAGUUUAUGUAUAGUUUAAAAGAGAGUCCUUGAAACAACACCUCUCUGCUUGCCUGCUAGUCAGUCACUAACAUUUAAUUUUGUUUUGGUUUAGUUAAAUUGGGGGGGUUUGCAACCCCUUGAGGCAAAGAUUAAAUUAAUUCUCAAGUGGCAUACAAGCUGUGGUUUCAAAUCCUAACAUUUAGCACAGGGUUGCCUCUCUGUCCAUCCUGGUUCUGAUUCAUAGCUGGCCAGAUAGACACUCAAAUCCUUGCUGGAGUGGGUCCUGGAUGAGUGCACUCCACUGCCCACCAGGAUGUCCACAAGACAGGACCUAAGUGGCUUUCAUUCUCUAAGAUGCCAUUCUGGAUUGGAAACUCCAGACCUCAAAUCUAUUUAGAACUGGGCCCUGAGCUCCAGGAGAUCCUACCUCCUCAGUUCAUCCAGAUGUGGAGGAUGAGCCCCAUAAUUGAUCUUCUCAGGGAACUCCAACCCUGAGAAGAGCAUCACCUCCCAGGACACAGUGCUAUUGCUCUGCUGCUAGUGCAGGGGAUCUAUUCCAAGCACAGCACAAGUUCCUGCAUUGUUCUCAUUGUCCUUCAGUUCCCCAGAUGUGUCUGAGACUUUCUGUCUGUGCAAAGGCAAGGGAUAACCUGAAGGUCAGAGCCCCAUCUGACCUCAAGACUCUCAGGUCUAAAGAGUGGCACUUGUGGGGGCUCUGUACUCAAUCUCCACCCUCAGGAGGCUUCAGUGAUGUGAGUGGUACAGCCCUUGAGACCAUGUUCUCUGGUCCUGCCCUAGAUUUCUACCCCCACACAGCAGCCUACCUGGAAGAGCACCUGCAGUUCAACCCAACUGAGGCCUCACCUUUUUGAGUCAGCACUGCCUUCUGCCUUCUCAGCUCCUCUGGGAACCCCUUUGUUCCCAGGACUACCUAGAGGAGAAGCCAUGUCCUCACUGCCUGAAAGGUAGAUAGAUAAGACUCUCAAUAACACAUCUGCAAAGGUCUCUCUUAGCUCACCUUUAAUCUCAGUCUUCCAUCCCACAUGAUUGAGUGGGAUUUUAUGUCAGGCAAGGGGCCAGGGGUUGGGGAGUCAAAAAUAAACAAGAAGCUCAUGGUAUCUGCCAGAGGAAUUUAUUCUUUAAUUAAUUUACUCAUCAAAUGUGUAUUGAGCACCCACUUUUUGACCACCCUGGGGAGUGCCAAGUACUGGGGAGACAGUAAUGAAAACAGGUAUAACCCCUUCCAUCCUAAUAGCACCAUACAGUAGACGCAUGAUCCAUAGGGAGCGUGGACCUCAACCAAACCACUUAGCAAGUGGAGAAUUAUGAACUGUGAUAAAGAAUCAUAGGAUCAGGGCUGGGGUUGUAGCUCAGUGGUAGAGCACUUGCCUAGCACGUGCGAGGUCCUGGGUUCGAUCCUCAGCACCACAUAAAAAUAAAUAUACAAAAUAAAGGUAUUGUGUACAACUAAGAAAGAAAUAUUUAAAAAAAAAAAAAAAGAAUCACAGGAUCUUUCAAGAGUGGGGAGAGGGAGAACCAGGCUGAGUGGGAGGGGUGGAGAAAACAGGACCUGGACACACACCUAGCAGAACCUAGUUUGGUACUUAUCUUCCUCCUGAAACACCCUGGAGAAGGCUGCUCCCCGAACCCUAUCCCUUUCCUCCACACCCAGGAAAUCUGCCAGCCUCUCCACAUGGCCUCCUCCCUCUCUAAGGAUGCCAGGCGCCUUCUCUUGCCGCCUGUUGAUUGGUGACAGGAAACUGCAGUACCCUGUGUGGUCCCUGACUAAAAUUUCCAGGCAGCUGAGAGGUGGGGUUUCGCCCGUGAGGCUGUGGUAUCCCAGCCCUCUGUGCUCCAUCAGCCAUAGGAGGAGGAGCUGGGAUCGGGCACUUAAUAAAAGAACUCCUAGGAGUGAAGCUAUUGGGUUUGGCACAUUGACAUUUGCACACACUCACACACCAUCCUCCAUUCCCCUGGUUCUCUGGCCGUCUCAUUUUCAAGGCCUGGCAGGAUACAUCCCCAGCCCCCAUUCUUCAGAAGAAUGGCAGGGCCUGGGCAGCAGAGCCCCAGGCCUGGGACCCAUCCAACAAAACAGCCAUUCCAGACGCCUGGUCCUGACUGGCUUUGGCUUCUCUUCCACUCCACAGUCUGGCCUGAAUCUGGGUGGGAGAGGCUGCUCUGCUUCCAGGUAAGGACUCACCACCCUGGCAGCCAGAAGGCCUCCCCAGGAAACACCAGUACCCAGCAGCCCCUCCAUGGCCUAACCCUCCACAGACUGCUGAAAAGGCUGAGCAUCUCUGUGCUGCCCCUAGAGAGGGGUGCAGGACCCCUCAAAAGGGUGUCAAUACCACCUAUUCUGGUGGUUGGGAGGAGGGUGCUGUAUAAUGCCAGCAGUUUAACCCAGGCCUUGGCCUUAAGGAACAACUGUGGCCAGGGCCACCAACUGGCCUAAAUCCUCGGGCAGAACUUCAGUUUCAUGCCUCUUGGUCUUACAGGAGAGAACUCCAAGGUGGCCUGCCUGGAAGUCCCAGGGUCCCUCAACGGGCACACAAAUAUGGUUAUCCAGCUGCAGCUAUAGGCAAUAAGGCAGCCUACAAGCUCCAACAGCAUCUUUCUUCCUUUUCUCUUUACAGAUAUGGACAAGGUGGGUGCGUUUGUAAGUGGGGACCAAGGUUAACCCUUUAGUUGUUCCAUAUAGUAAGGCUAGAACCUUGGACUUGGGAAGUAUUUUUUAUACCUGUUUUCUUCCUAUGGCCCAGGGCCUUUGGGCCUUGUGGGUCUCUCAGUCUUUCCUGCUCCCUUCUGCUAGCACCCCACACUGAGGGUGGU